rnacentral:rRNA from 1 species
CACGUAGGGUGCGAGCGUUGUCCGGAAUUAUUGGGCGUAAAGAGCUCGUAGGCGGUGUGUCGCGUCGGCCGUGAAAACCUGCAGCUUAACUGUGGGCUUGCGGUCGAUACGGGCAUCACUGGAGUUCGGCAGGGGAGACUGGAAUUCCUGGUGUAGCGGUGAAAUGCGCAGAUAUCAGGAGGAACACCGGGUGGCGAAGGCGGGUCUCUGGGCCGAUACUGACGCUGGAGGAGCG